ACUGAACUCAACCACAACAACCAUAACCACUGCGGCUCAUUGGGA
rnacentral:sRNA from 1 species